GAUGAAGAACGUAGCGAAAUGCGAUAAGUAGUGUGAAUUGCAGAAUUCAGUGAAUCAUCGAAUCUUUGAACGCACAUUGCGCCUCCUGGCAUUCCGGGAGGCAUGCCUGUUCGAGCGUCAUCAAACCCCAUCGUGCAAAUGAAUUAUUUUUUUUGCGCGGAAGUGACGAUUGAGCGAGAAUAACAAAUCCUCUCGCACCUCGUCGAAAUGAUUGCGGGCGGAAUUUGGGAUCGGGUUCCUCGGCGUAGUGUAUCAAUGCAUAUUUAUGCAACUUGCCGCGGAGUUGAGCCUGACCCACGCGUUCUCGCCGUACAAACACCUCAUUACUUUACAAGUUUUUGACCUCGGAUCAGGUAGGGAUACCCGCUGAACUUAAGCAUAUCAAUAACGGAGGA
rnacentral:misc_RNA from 1 species